rnacentral:misc_RNA from 1 species
UAGGAGAUGUAGGUGGCUUUAAAUCUUCAUAAGCAGUGUAUGGAGACAAAGGCCUUGUAGUCACCAACUCUGCUUUGUCAAAAGUAAAUAAAUAAACAGAAGAGGCUUCCUUAGUGGGUUUGGUAUUCUCUGCUCCACUUGCACCUUCUUGACGACCUCCAGGAGGAUUUGUACUAGGGGAUGUAGGUGGUUUUAGAUCUUCAUAACUUGUAGUCAGCAAUUCUGCUUUGUCAAAAGUAGAAUCAACAACAGAA